rnacentral:rRNA from 1 species
ACGAAGGGUGCUAGCGUUGUUCGGAAUGACUGGGCGUAAAGGGUGCGUAGGCGGUAAGAUGCGUCUGAUGUGAAAUCCCUGGGCUUAACCUAGGAACUGCAUUGGAUACGGUCUUACUAGAGUCCGCGAGAGGAAGAUGGAAUUGUGCGUGUAGAGGUGAAAUUCGUAGAUAUGCACAAGAACACCGGUGGCGAAGGCGAUCUUCUGGAGCGGUACUGACGCUAAGGCACGAAAGCGUGGGGAGCAAACAGG